ACCCAGACUCCUACGGGAGGCAGCAGUGGGGAAUAUUGCACAAUGGGGGAAACCCCGAUGCAGCGACGCCGCGUGAGUGAAGAAGUAUUUCGGUAUGUAAAGCUCUAUCAGCAGGGAAGAAAAUGACGGUACCUGAAGAAGAAGCCCCGGCUAACUACGUGCCAGCAGCCGCGGUAAUACGUAGGGGGCAAGCGUUAUCCGGAUUUACUGGGUGUAAAGGGGGCGCAGACGGCGAUGCAAGCCAGGAGUGAAAGCCCGGGGCCCAACCCCGGGACUGCUCUUGGAACUGCGUGGCUGGAGUGCAGGAGGGGCAGGCGGAAUUCCUGGUGUAGCGGUGAAAUGCGUAGAUAUCAGGAGGAACACCGGUGGCGAAGGCGGCCCGCUGGACUGCAACUGACGUUGAGGCCCGAAAGCGUGGGGAGCAAACAGGAUUAGAUACCCCCGUAC
rnacentral:rRNA from 1 species